UAUAUUGGACAAUGGGGGCAACCCUGAUCCAGUCAUGCCGCGUGUGUGUAUAAGGUCUUCUGAUUGUAAAGCACUCAAAGUCGGGAGGAAGGGCUUCAGCCUAAUACCUUGUAGUUUUGACGUUAUUAAUAGAAUAAGCACCGGCUAACUCUGUGCCAGCAGCCGCGGUAAUACAGAGGGUGCAAGCGUUAAUCGGAAUUACUGGGCGUAAAGCGGGAGUAGGCAGUUCAGUAAAAUGGGUGUGAAAACCCCGGGCUUGACCUGGGGACUGCUUUCAUAACUGCUGAGAUAGAGUACGGUAGAGGGUAGUGAAAUUUCCUGUGUAGCGGUAAAAUGCGUAGAUGUAGGAAGAAACACCAGUGGCGAAGGCGACCACCUGGGCUAAUACUGACACUAGGGUGCGAAAACGUGGGGAGCAAAC
rnacentral:rRNA from 1 species